GAUGAACGCUGGCGGCGUGCUUAACACAUGCAAGUCGAACGAUGAAGCCCAGCUUGCUGGGUGGAUUAGUGGCGAACGGGUGAGUAACACGUGAGUAACCUGCCCUUAACUCUGGGAUAAGCCUGGGAAACUGGGUCUAAUACCGGAUAGGAGCGCCCACCGCAUGGUGGGUGUUGGAAAGAUUUAUCGGUUUUGGAUGGACUCGCGGCCUAUCAGCUUGUUGGUGAGGUAAUGGCUCACCAAGGCGACGACGGGUAGCCGGCCUGAGAGGGUGACCGGCCACACUGGGACUGAGACACGGCCCAGACUCCUACGGGAGGCAGCAGUGGGGAAUAUUGCACAAUGGGCGCAAGCCUGAUGCAGCGACGCCGCGUGAGGGAUGACGGCCUUCGGGUUGUAAACCUCUUUCAGUAGGGAAGAAGCGAAAGUGACGGUACCUGCAGAAGAAGCACCGGCUAACUACGUG
rnacentral:rRNA from 1 species